AAGAAAUAUUAAACGUGCCUUUUUGUGGGGACAUUACUAUGGAAGAGUUGUAUAUGAACCCCCUUCUAUUUGUGUAAUAUGUUAGGUCUAUCUAAAUUUUCGAGUGGUUGUUUUCUAGGGAGGAUUCCGUGAACCAAUGUGUUAUUUUGGUAAUUUUUUAGCCGAUUUUCUUAAAUGCAGAUGGUGCAUUGUGAUAUAAAAUUAAAACAAGCUAAAAGAAAAGUGUUUAUGGUAUAAUUAUAAGAUUGACGAUGUCGAAUAGAAUGUAGUAUUAGGGAUAAAAGAUAAAAUGUGAUAAUGCUUGACGAUGUCGAAUAGACUGUAGUAUUAGGGAUAAAAGAUAAAAUGUGAUAAUGCUGUACUGGAUGAAUAUAAAUUAGACAAGAAGUUAUAAAUACUAACAUUAUUUUA
rnacentral:lncRNA from 1 species